GGACUACCAGUUGAUGGCGAUCCAGUUAUCGGAGUUGAUCCCACGCUUACCAUUCUGGAGUGGCAGGCUUUGUGCUUGCGAUUGCUAGGGUUUGAGCCCGACGUCUAGUUUUUCGAUCAUUCACGACUCAAGAUUGAGUGUUUGGAUGAUCGUUAUCGAUAUUUUUAUAUUGAGGAUGAUGUACCAGAGGAGAUGGUGCAGCAGUAUGUUAGGGGUCAGAUGCUGCGGUUGUUAGAUGGUAUCCUGUUACCCG
rnacentral:lncRNA from 1 species